rnacentral:rRNA from 1 species
GCCAGACUCCUACGGGAGGCAGCAGUGGGGGAUAUUGCACAAUGGGGGAAACCCUGAUGCAGCGACGCCGCGUGGGUGAAGAAGCGCCUCGGCGCGUAAAGCCCUGUCAGCAGGGAAGAAAAUGACGGUACCUGAAGAAGAAGCCCCGGCUAACUACGUGCCAGCAGCCGCGGUAAUACGUAGGGGGCAAGCGUUAUCCGGAUUUACUGGGUGUAAAGGGAGCGUAGACGGCAGUGCAAGUCCGGAGUGAAAGCCCGGGGCUCAACCCUGGGACUGCUCUGGAAACUGUAAAGCUGGAGUGCGGGAGGGGCAGGCGGAAUUCCUGGUGUAGCGGUGAAAUGCGUAGAUAUCAGGAGGAACACCGGCGGCGAAGGCGGCCUGCUGGACCGUAACUGACGUUGAGGCUCGAAAGCGUGGGGAGCAAACAGGAUUAGAUACCCGAGUAC